CCUACGGGAGGCAGCAGUGAGGAAUAUUGGUCAAUGGCCGGAAGGCUGAACCAGCCAUGCCGCGUGAAGGUCAGUGCCCUAUGGGCGUUAAACUUCUUUUGUGCGGGAGCAAUAAUGGUCACGUGUGGCCAGACGAGAGUACCGUACGAAUAAGCAUCGGCUAACUCCGUGCCAGCAGCCGCGGUAAUACGGGGGAUGCAAGCGUUAUCCGGAUUUAUUGGGUUUAAAGGGUGCGUAGGCUGUGAGGUAAGUCAGCGGUGAAAUGCCCCCGCUCAAUGGGGUGAAGUGCCAUUGAUACUGCCUGGCUGGAAUGCGGAUGCCGUGGGAGGAAUGUGUGGUGUAGCGGUGAAAUGCAUAGAUAUCACACAGAACACCGAUUGCGAAGGCAUCUCACGAAUCCGCGAUUGACGCUGAUGCACGAAAGCGUGGGUAUCAAACAGGAUUAGAUACCCCAGUAGUC
rnacentral:rRNA from 1 species